rnacentral:misc_RNA from 1 species
CUGAUACCUGUUUCACACUUCACCGACAGCACACCCGCCCCUGCAGCUGUGCGCACGCCAACCGCUGGCGCGUCGGUGCGCUGCUCUAGUUUUUGUGAGUAGUACGCCCGCUACCGCUUUUUCUUGUAGCUUGGAAACAUGCAGUAUUCCAUUAUCGUUCCCGCAUACAAGGAAUGCGGGAACUUGGAGCCGCUGAUACGCCGCGUUUUCGCUGCCGUGACGGAACAGGGCCUCCCCACGCAGAAUGUCGAGAUGCUCAUCGUGGACGAUAACUCGCGUGAUGGGUCGAAGGAGGUUGUUGAGAGGCUUCAUGAAGAGGGCUUCAACGUGCACAUGGAUGUUCGUACGACGGAGCGUGGCCUGAGCAGUGCCGUCAUUCACGGUCUGCGCCACACCAGUGGCGCCUACAAGCUUGUGAUGGAUGCCGACCUACAGCACCCGCCCGAGUGCGUGCCAGCGCUGUUCAAAGCCCUCUGCCGCGAUGGGGUCGAGUUCGUCUGCGGCACGCGCUACGGCGCCGGAAUCGAGAUCGACAAGAACUGGCCGGCGCACCGCCGCCUCAUUUCUUGGGGGGCGCGGCUGCUGGCCCGGCCUCUCACCACCCUUUCUGAUCCCAUGUCGGGCUUCUUCGGGAUUCGCGAUGGUGUGUUCAAGCGGCACGCCGGCGAGGUGAACUCGAUCGGGUACAAGAUUGCGCUGGAGCUGUUCGUCAAGUGCCGCGUGCAGUGCUUCGAGGAGGUUGGCUUCAAUUUCGCGACUCGCACCUAUGGUGAAUCGAAGCUGACCGGUAAGGUGAUCUUCCACUAUCUCGAGCACCUCUACGCCCUUUACCUGUUCAAGCUGGGCCGUCUCUUCUACGUGUUUGUGGUGGUGGCUGUGAUGUUCGCCAUGUAUCUCGUGGCGUUUCUAUACCAUUCGCUCUUCUAGGCCCCUUGCGCACUCCCGAGCUCCGCGAACGACUACCCGGGCGGACGUUGUUUCGCGUCCUUGUCAAUAGCGUCACUGCACAGCGUAGUGGGCGACACUAGAACGCACAAGGAAACACGAGGAUCGAUGGAAAGAGAGUAUGGCCUGACGUAUGUGCGUGUGCGCGUGCUUUCUUGUGCUUGACCGCCGCCACGCCCGUCAGUGGCACGAGGUGUGUAUGCUUUGCGCUUCGCUGUUGUCUUGGAAAACCUGCUCUCGCCGUUUUUCCAACCCGAGCACACACGUAGAAAAGGACAAACCCGCCCACCCACACAAAGCAGAACUUGAGCGAAAGAUGCCUAGGUCAUCUCGAGCACACAGCAGCCGAAGGGCUUGUGCUUAAGGCUCGUCUGCGCAACACGAGGGUGCCGUUUCCGUUCUUCUGGCCAUCUUCCAGUCUUU